UAUUGACUGAAUCGAGCAUCUCUGGAAAUAGGAAAGGCAUAUGCCUGUGUAAAGUUGUAUACGUCUUGUCUAAUGACUUGUUUGUUUUUUCAGACAUGCAUGUCAUGAUCCAGGUGUUAGCCAUAGUGGGAAAGAUUGAUGUGUCUUCUGCUUUAUGCAUCAUCUUUGUGUUCUUCACUGAGCUGAUCCUACCGUGUUCAGAAACAUGGGCUUAGGGGUUGCACCCUGAACGCAUAGGCACCAUCAUUUCUCCUUUUGUGAUCUACAUGGGCGUGUACAGUAAGAUCCUCACAUACAUUGUUUUUGGCACAAUCAGCAUCAUGGCUGCUGCUGUUAACAUGUUGCUGCCAGACACUAGAAAUACCAAACUUCCUGACCUCAUCAGCCAGGCCAAACACAUCAGAGGCUGCUGCUAUAAGGAAACUGCUACAGCCCUGUCGGAUCUGAUGGCUGUAACACCAUGAGCAAGAGCGCACUCUGCUAGCAGAAAAGCACAAAUCAAGAGUGGAGUGAUGACAUUAAAUUACCUUCGAAAC